AUUGAACGCUGGCGGCAGGCCUAACACAUGCAAGUCGAGCGGAGGAAGGGAGCUUGCUCCUGGAUUCAGCGGCGGACGGGUGAGUAAUGCCUAGGAAUCUGCCUGGUAGUGGGGGAUAACGUCCGGAAACGGGCGCUAAUACCGCAUACGUCCUGAGGGAGAAAGUGGGGGAUCUUCGGACCUCACGCUAUCAGAUGAGCCUAGGUCGGAUUAGCUAGUUGGUGGGGUAAAGGCCUACCAAGGCGACGAUCCGUAACUGGUGUGAGAGGAUGAUCAGUCACCCGGGAGCGCGACCACCGACCCGGCUCCUGAGGGAGGGCGCAGUCGGCAAUAUUGGACAACGGGCGAAAGCCUUGCCCAGCCAUGCCGCGUGUGUUAAGAAGGUCUUCGGAUUGUAAAGCACUUUAAGUUGGGGGGAAGGGCAGUAAGUUAAUACCUUGCUGUUUUGACGUUACCAACAGAAUAAGCACCGGCUAACUUCGUG
rnacentral:rRNA from 1 species